GGUGGAUGGUCUGUUUUGUGCAGGAUGAAGAGAGAAUCCAGAGAACUUGGGUUUAUUCGUAAUCCCAAUGUAUAUACAUCUCCAGAGGAAGUCACAGAAGAGGAUGAAUAUGUAAAUUAUACAGUUCCUGCUGUUGGGACAGAUCCUUCAGAGACCCACUGCAAAUAUGGUAUGAAGGUUCCUGCUGUCGUCCAGCGUUUUUCACCAGUAGCCGUGUGUUGGGUGAUACUGGUAAUAAUCCUGGCCCUCCGCAUCCACU